rnacentral:rRNA from 1 species
UACGGAGGGUGCAAGCGUUAUUCGGAUUCACUGGGUUUAAAGGGUGCGUAGGUGGGCAAGUAAGUCAGUGGUGAAAUCUCCGGGCUUAACCCGGAAACUGCCAUUGAUACUAUUUGUCUUGAAUACUGUGGAGGUCAGCGGAAUAUGUCAUGUAGCGGUGAAAUGCUUAGAUAUGACAUAGAACACCAAUUGCGAAGGCAGCUGGCUACACAAAUAUUGACACUGAGGCACGAAAGCGUGGGGAUCAAACAGG